CUUUUAUUACUGCUAAUUCAACCACAGUGGCAAGGGUUCUCCAGCUCUCCAUGGAAAUAUGCUGGAUAGGAUAGUGUCAGCCAUAUUCUGCUUCAAGGUCUCCACUCCAUUCCAAUGCAAUAUCUUGCUGUAUUCUAUAUGCACAGCAAUAAGGAUGCUCUGCAGCAAAAUUACUGCUUCUUUCCCAAAGACAAAUGUCAGCCUAGCAGGAUGCCAUCUGCUUCUGCCCCCAGUGUGUUCCUGCUAACCCUCAAAACACCUGCUUUGUGACACACAAAGUGCAGAGCUGCCGAGCAGGAAGAAGCAGAAGUCAGGGAGCAUGGAAAGUCUUCAGGCACCCUCUAAAGGCAUCACCAUCCUGCCUGCUGGGCCCAAUAUUUGCAAGGUCUCUCUUCCCAACAGGGAUGGGGUCAGAUGCUUGACCAAACCAAGAUGUGGGCAGCAUAGCUGUUGUCAUUUAUUUUAGGGACUAGGCAGAAUAUAUUCAUUCCUGUCACUUAGGACCACUUACAGAAUGGUUCCUAUGUUCCUCCAUCUGUUUAGUUAAUAUCCCUGACCAGUGAAGGCCGAACACAGACAUGGCCAAUAUUAAGAGACUGAGUUUUCUUGCUUGGUCACCAUCACGCUUUUACCACCACUCACAGUCUUGCCCCAAACAACCACCAGUUUAUUCACAAUUGAUGUUGGCUCUGCUCAAGGAUAUUUACAUUAUACUUAUAGCACUAAGAUCAAGUUGGUAAACCAGAGUAAGACUCCAAUAGACAAGUGAGAGCUUCUACAUACCAUUUUUUUAAGGUCAAUCAGAAUGACACAAAUUGUGUGAAAAUCAAAUAAAAAAAUACUACAUUAUUAGUUUAAUUAAUGGUCCAGCAAACUAAUGUAAAAGUAAGAAAUACUUCAAUUAAAAUUAUCCCAUUCCUACUGCGGAUUAUCACCAAUAUAACAAAUGCCUAAAAUGAAGUAUUCCAAUGUCAAGUUCUCAUCCUUUUGGUGCAGUAAGUUGUCAGCCAGAAGAAUGAUGUUGAUGGUGAGUUUUUUCUUCUCAGGUCUUGUAUCCAUUCUAUGAGUACUCUUGUGUACUUUGUCCUCCACUUUGUAAAUAGGUUCCUCUCCUAAUGGUUCUUAGCAUUAGCCACGAUUCCUUCUGUAUACAAGGGAAGGGCCACAGAUCAAAACCUUCAAGGCAACAUCAGAUCUAGUUGUGUUCCUGACAGGCACAGAGGAACAUGUUUGCAUUUGGCAGCAGACUGUAGAAUGUGAAAGCAGAAACUGGGAGAAGUGCAGCUGAGGGCUGCCAUUCUCAGCAACAGGGACUAUCUCGAUAGCGAAUCCCUGCCUACGUCCCAGGAUGGCAUGGUAGAGUUUAAGAGAAAUGUGAUUCUGUAGUCACUGAAAUCCACAGACUCUCCCAGAAGGGCAUCUUUUAACAGGAGAGAUACCUGACAGGCAAAAAUCCACACUACAGUAGGCAAGAGAAAUGGGAAACUUUCAAAAAAUGGCAAUGAACUCUUCAGGAACACCACAGCAUCUACCUGCUUGACCAGAUAACAAUAGAUAAACUGAGAAAAAGGCCAGUAAGAAUGGCCUGAGUAAGAGGGAGGUGCAGAAACAGACCAAUGAUGACAAGA